UCCAAAUGUCACAUCCCCUUGCCCAUUCAGGGGAAUGCUGGGUUACUGGUGCAUAAAAUGACUUGACAUCUGCACUGUGUAUCUUUUACACACCUAUUUUUAAAUACCGCAAACUUAAUGACCACGAUAGAAUAUAUAAAACCCUUUAUGAAACCCUUUGACACUUUUCCUCCCUACAUACCGUUGGGCAUAUACACGAUCCCACUGAUCUUCCAGGCAACCCGCUGUCCUAGGUGCUCUUGUGCCCAUUGCACAGAUAAGAAAUCUGAAGCUCAGACUGGUAAGAAGCCUUGCCCAAAGUCACAUAUCCUUUAAGAAGCAGAGCCAACAAUUCCAACUCUGAUGUGUUUGAACUUCGCAACAAUCGUUCCUAACCAAAGUGGGUAAUUUAGCCAAAAUAAAACCAUUUUGUAAACAUCAUAAGUAAAGCCGACAGCAGCCAAGUCACAGCCCCUGAAACAUGCAGCAGAUGAAGACGGCGGCCCUCGUUGGACAAAAACCACGUCUGCUUCCCAUUGAAAGAAAUGACAAACAGAAUAGCUGUGCACCACUCACAGCAGCAGAGCCGAGAACUUAAGACGCUCCAAGCAUUUUAACACCUUCUCAACUCAACGCACCAAUGGAAGGGUCACCAUGUACAAAGAAAAACAUGUCCUUCCAUUUAAUAUUUUCCCUUUCAGCAGGACCCCAUCACCCUUUUUUAAGUAACAGCUUUAUUAAGAUAUAAUCUACACCAUGCUAGGCAUUUUUGUGACUACUAUCUCAUUUAAUCCAUAUCAUCAUUCCAUUGCACUAAUUUGAAAACCAAAGCUCAGAGAAGUAAACGUUCUCAAAGCCACACAGUUGCUCCCUGGUAGAAGCAGGAUGUGAACCUGGAUCUGCCCAAGUCCAACCCCAAAGAUGCUUCCACUACUCCAUGUUUCUCGUGCAGUGGAUGGCAGCUGCCCUUUAUCGUGUUAUUAUGCUAUGUUUCAGAGACAGCAGCCGCCUGUGCUUUUGUUUGGCUUACAUAAACUCAAAUGCAUGCGAUGUAUCACUGCGUCCACGCGCAUCCCUGGGUUGAAAAUAUGCCCACAUCUAUGGAACUCCUAAGAACAAGUAUUACACAAAUAAACUUUUCCCCUAAAUUUCCCUCUGAUUCUUGGAGCUACUGAGAUAACACUCUAAUAUUUCUGUAAUUUUUUAAGCCCACAAAGGAAAGUUAGUGUAUAACAAAGGCCUUGGUGGUUUUCAGCUGCAAUCCUAAGCCUCCUCUCGUUAAAUGUCUUAAUAGAUUGGCCUCGGCCGGGCGCGCGGUGGCUCAAGCCUGUCAUCCCAGCACUUUGGGAGGCCGAGACAGGCGGAUCACGAGGUCAGGAGAUCGAGUCCACCCUGGCUAACACGGUGAAACCCCGUCUCUACUAAAAAAUACAAAAAAAACUAGCCGGGCGAGGUGGCGGGCGCCUGUAGUCCCAGCUACUCGGGAGGCUGAGGCAGGAGAAUGGCGUAAACCCGGGAGGCGGAGCUUGCAGUGAGCUGAGAUCCAGCCACUGCACUCCAGCCUGGGCGACAGAGCUAGACUCCGUCUCACAAAAAAAAAAAAAAAAAAAA
ensembl:lncRNA